CUAGAGAUAGAGCUUCUCCUUCGGGAGCAGAGUGACAGGUGGUGCAUGGUUGUCGUCAGCUCGUGUCGUGAGAUGUUGGGUUAAGUCCCGCAACGAGCGCAACCCUUGAUCUUAGUUGCCAUCAUUAAGUUGGGCACUCUAAGGUGACUGCCGGUGACAAACCGGAGGAAGGUGGGGAUGACGUCAAAUCAUCAUGCCCCUUAUGACCUGGGCUACACACGUGCUACAAUGGACGGUACAAAGAGCUGCAAGACCGCGAGGUGGAGCUAAUCUCAUAAAACCGUUCUCAGUUCGGAUUGUAGGCUGCAACUCGCCUACAUGAAGCUGGAAUCGCUAGUAAUCGCGGAUCAGCAUGCCGCGGUGAAUACGUUCCCGGGCCUUGUACACACCGCCCGUCACACCACGAGAGUUUGUAACACCCGAAGUCGGUGGGGUAACCUUU
rnacentral:rRNA from 1 species